rnacentral:rRNA from 1 species
UACGGGGGGGGCUAGCGUUGUUCGGAAUUACUGGGCGUAAAGGGCGCGUAGGCGGUCUACUAAGUUGGAUGUGAAAACUCUGGGCUUAACCCAGAGCCUGCAGUGGAUACGGGCAGACUAGAGGUAGGUAGGGGAGAAUGGAAUUCCCGGUGUAGCGGUGAAAUGCGCAGAUAUCGGGAGGAACACCGGUGGCGAAGGCGGUUCUCUGGGCCUUACCUGACGCUGAGGAGCGAAAGCGUGGGGAGCGAACAGG